GUGUCAGCAGCCGCGGUAAUACGUAGGUGGCAAGCGUUGUCCGGAAUUACUGGGCGUAAAGCGCGUGCAGGCGGUUUUUUAAGUCUGAUGUGAAAGCCCACGGCUUAACUGUGGAGGGUCAUUGGAAACUGGGUGACUUGAGUGCAGAAGAGGAAAGCGGAAUUCCAAGUGUAGCGGUGAAAUGCGUAGAGAUUUGGAGGAAAACCAGUGGCGAAGGCGACGUUCUGGACUGCAACUGACGCUGAG
rnacentral:rRNA from 1 species